AUGGUUCAGAAUGAACGCUGGCGGCGUGCUUAAUACAUGCAAGUCGAACGCUUUGUGGUUCAACUGAUUUGAAGAGCUUGUUCAGAUAUGACGAUGGACAUUGCAAAGAGUGGCGAACGGGUGAGUAACACGUGGGAAACCUACCUCUUAGCAGGGGAUAACAUUUGGAAACAGAUGCUAAUACCGUAUAACAAUAGCAACCGCAUGGUUGCUACUUAAAAGAUGGUUCUGCUAUCACUAAGAGAUGGUCCCGCGGUGCAUUAGUUAGUUGGUGAGGUAAUGGCUCACCAAGACGAUGAUGCAUAGCCGAGUUGAGAGACUGAUCGGCCACAAUGGGACUGAGACACGGCCCAUACUCCUACGGGAGGCAGCAGUAGGGAAUCUUCCACAAUGGGCGAAAGCCUGAUGGAGCAACGCCGCGUGUGUGAUGAAGGGUUUCGGCUCGUAAAACACUGUUGUAAGAGAAGAAUGACAUUGAGAGUAACUGUUCAAUGUGUGACGGUAUCUUACCAGAAAGGAACGGCUAAAUACGUGCCAGCAGCCGCGGUAAUACGUAUGUUCCAAGCGUUAUCCGGAUUUAUUGGGCGUAAAGCGAGCGCAGACGGUUAUUUAAGUCUGAAGUGAAAGCCCUCAGCUCAACUGAGGAAUUGCUUUGGAAACUGGAUGACUUGAGU
rnacentral:rRNA from 1 species